rnacentral:lncRNA from 1 species
UUGGCACCGUUGCUAGGGACUUUAUGUUUAUUUUAGCCAAUUUUAGAAUCCUAGUUUAGAAUCUUGUUAGCAAUUUUUUUGUUUUUGUUUUUGUUUGUUGAUUUUCAUGGUUUUAGUAUUGUGGUAAGUAUCUCAGUCCAUCAGCGGAUUCUGUAAGCUACUAUUUCAAAUUGCUCCAAUAUUUUUCAAGGAAAUCAGAAAAAAAAAUCAAGAAACGAUACUCUC